GAAAAAUGCAGCCUCCUCUCCACCUUUCCCCCCUUUUCAAAUUUCGUGCGCACUUUAACCGUUACAUCGCUUUCUCUCUCUUCACUCCCUUGUUACUAGCUCUAGGGUUUCUGCUCCUCACAAUGCUCCCUCCUCUACUCUCAACCCUCCUCCGCCAUCGCCGGCACUCUCUCCGCCGCUUCGUCCUCCACCUUCAUUAUCAACCUUGCAAACUCUUUUCUACCACCUCUUCAUCACCACUGCAUUUUCCACUCUCCCAUCCAACCUACAUGAUUUGGGGCUCCAACACUUCCCUUGGCAAAACUUUGGUUUCCACUGGCCUCGCCUCUUCCUUCCUUUUCUCUCCGCCUCCGCAAUCCUCUAGCGGAAGCAGAAGGCGUAAAUUUGUUUACCUCAAACCCGUUCAAACGGGUUUUCCUUCCGACUCUGAUUCCCAUUUUGUCUUUGCGAAACUUUCCUCUAUCGCUUCCCGCUGCAAUCUUCCUUUCUCUCUCGUUGCCUCCAAUUCCGUUCUCAAAUCCUCUGUUUCUGCAGCCAAAUCCGUCCUUAGCGUUGGCGGACAUUUCGAGACCAAUGAAUUCCAAUUUGGAAUGUACGAUUUGAACUCUCGUGAGACGAAUACGGUUUUAAGGGAUGGGGAAGUGGUUUCGGAAUUAGUUUCCAAGACGUUGUAUGCAUGGAGGGAGGCCGUUUCGCCUCAGUUGGCGGCACAGAGGGAGAAUGGAGUUGCGCAGGAUUCCGCGGUGGUGGAGAUGUUGCAGCAGUGUUUGAUAAAUGAAUUGGAAGUUGAGGGUGAAAAUGAGAAAAUGAAUAUUUUCUGUGUGGUUGAGACUGCAGGAGGGGUUGCCAGUCCCGGUCCGUCAGGAACCUUACAGUGUGAUCUGUACCGGCCUUUCCGCUUCCCUGGUGUUCUUGUGGGAGAUGGGCGGCUGGGUGGUAUUUCGGGAACCAUUUCAGCUUAUGAAAGUUUAAAGCUUCGAGGUUAUGAUAUUGUUGCUGUUGUUUUUGAAGAUCAUGGCUUUGUUAAUGAAGUGCCAUUACUUUCAUAUUUGCGAAAUAGGGUGCCUGUCAUUUUACUUCCACCGAUCCCACAAGAUAUGUCAAAUGACCUGGUGGAAUGGUUUUGUGAUUCUGAGGAAAUAUUUGAUUCUCUAAAGCAAAUAAUGAUAUCAGCAUUUUCAGAAAGAAUGCAGAGAUUGAAUGACAUGCCAAAGAAGGCAAGAGAUGUAUUCUGGUGGCCUUUUACUCAGCACAGGCUUGUACCAGAAGAAAGUGUUACAGUUAUUGAUUCAAGGUGUGGGGAGAACUUUGCAGUCUACAAGGCCCAAAAUAAUGAGUUCAUGACUGAACAAUUUGAUGCAUGUGCUAGUUGGUGGACCCAAGGACCCGAUGCUACUCUACAGGUGGCUUCAGAUUGAGCUUGCAAGAGAUAUGGGCUAUGCUGCUGGAAGAUUUGGUCAUGUAAUGUUUCCUGAGAAUGUUUAUGAGCCGGCCUUAAAAUGUGCAGAGCUUUUGCUUGAGGGUGUGGGCAAAGGCUGGGCUUCUAGGACAUACUUUUCAGAUAAUGGAUCAACAGCAAUUGAAAUUGCCCUGAAAAUGGCAUUUCGCAAAUUUUCUCUAGAUAAUGGAAUCCUUCUUGAUUAUGCUAAGAAUGACACAACUGAAAGAUGCAUUGAACUAAAGGUACUAGCUCUUAAAGGUUCUUAUCAUGGUGAUACUUUGGGAGCAAUGGAAGCACAAGCACCAUCAUCUUAUACAGGCUUCCUUCAGCAACCAUGGUAUAGUGGAAGAGGCCUUUUUGUGGAUCCUCCUACUGUCUUUAUGUGCAACAGGAUAUGGAAUCUUUGCUUUCCUGAAGGGAUGCUUUCUGAAAAUGUGAUUUAUAAAGACAAGGCCUUCAGCUCUCGUGAUGAUAUUUUUCACAAGAGCAGGGAAGAAUCGGAUCUCUAUAGAAUUUAUUCGUCAUAUAUAUCACAGCAAUUAUCACAGUAUUCAGGAACAAAGGGAACUAUCCAUAUUGGAGCAUUGAUUAUAGAACCAGUUAUUCAAGGUUCUGGCGGAAUGCUUAUGAUUGAUCCACUUUUCCAACGGGUACUUGUAAAUGAGUGCCGAAGUAGAAAUAUUCCAAUUAUAUUUGAUGAAGUCUUCACGGGUUUUUGGCGUCUCGGAGCAGAGAGCGCAGCAGAACUACUUGGUUGUGUACCAGAUAUAGCCUGCUUUGCAAAGCUGAUGACUGGGGGGAUUAUACCCUUGGCUGCCACAUUGGCUACAGAAGAAGUCUUUGAUUCAUUUAUUGGAGACUCAAAGCUCAAGGCCCUUUUGCAUGGACACUCAUACUCUGCUCAUGCUAUGGGGUGCAUGGCAGCUGCUAAAUCCAUUAAAUGGUUCAAGGAUCCCCUGACAAACCAUAAUGUCAUUGCUGAACAAGGGUUGCUUAGGGAGUUAUGGAAUGUGGAAUUGGUGCAACAGAUCUCAUUGCAUCCUUCUGUUCAAAGAGUGGUUGCAUUGGGAACUCUAUUUGCUCUAGAACUACGAGCAGAAGGGAGUAAUGCUGGAUAUGCAUCUCUAUAUGCACGUUCUCUCAUUCAGAAGCUGCGUGAAGAUGGUGUUUACAUGAGACCUUUGGGUAAUGUCGUCUACCUUCUUUGCGGGCCCUGUGCAUCUCCUGAGAUCUGCAGCCAACUGCUCAUCAAGCUUCACAGAAAACUUGAUGAGUUCAGCCAAAUUAAAGAGCUGCAAACAUCCACUUAAUUGCGAACGUAGCUCGGGUGGGGAGGCCCAUA
rnacentral:misc_RNA from 1 species